rnacentral:rRNA from 1 species
GACGAACGCUGGCGGCGUGCCUAAUACAUGCAAGCCGAACGCACGAAGUUGAAGAGCUUGCUCUUUAACCAAGUGAGUGGCGGACGGGUGAGUAACACGUGGGUAACCUGCCCAUUAGAGGGGGAUAACAUUCGGAAACGGAUGCUAAUACCGCAUAGUUUCAGGAAUCGCAUGAUUCUUGAAGGAAAGGUGGCUUCGGCUACCACUAAUGGAUGGACCCGCGGCGUAUUAGCUAGUUGGUGAGGUAAUGGCUCACCAAGGCAAUGAUACGUAGCCGACCUGAGAGGGUGAUCGGCCACACUGGGACUGAGACACGGCCCAGACUCCUACGGGAGGCAGCAGUAGGGAAUCUUCCGCAAUGGACGAAAGUCUGACGGAGCAACGCCGCGUGAGUGAAGAAGGUUUUCGGAUCGUAAAACUCUGUUGUUAAAGAAGAACAAGGAUGAGAGUAACUGCUCAUCCCCUGACGGUAUUUAACCAGAAAGCCACGGCUAACUACGUGCCAGCAGCCGCGGUAAUACGUAGGUGGCAAGCGUUGUCCGGAUUUAUUGGGCGUAAAGCGAGCGCAGGCGGUUCUUUAAGUCUGAUGUGAAAGCCCCCGGCUCAACCGGGGAGGGUCAUUGGAAACUGGAGAACUUGAGUGCAGAAGAGGAGAGUGGAAUUCCACGUGUAGCGGUGAAAUGCGUAGAUAUGUGGAGGAACACCAGUGGCGAAGGCGACUCUCUGGUCUGUAACUGACGCUGAGGCUCGAAAGCGUGGGGAGCAAACAGG